AAGGAGCCGUGCCUAUGCAGAGGCUCAGAACUAGGCACACUCAGGCUUCAUACCAGCUUAACCAGUUUGCUGCCUAGGUUGGCCAAGCAGCACAGGCAGGCCCAGACACCGCAGAAGAUUAGGCUUAGGAAUCGCUCCCUCGUAGCUCUCCACUCCAGGGCAAAAAUCAAGUUGCCUCCCGCCCCGGCAGCGCAGCCAGCGGUUGGGAAAUUAACGGCUGCACAGGCAGGCGCCGCGCGAGCCCGACCCGCCCGGCUGCAAGGCGCAACGGCUGCCUCGUGGCAAGCGCGUACCGCGCCACAAAGAAACGCGCCGCGCGCAGCGCUGCGGCCAACGGGCCCGCGCGAGGGCGGCCCGGCGCAACCCGCCUCCACAUCCCACGAGCCGUCGCCGCCGCUCGCCCGCCGCCGGGGCUUCGCGCACCCGGGGCUCCCGCCGCGGAAAACCCGCCCCGGCCCCGGGACCCCGGCGCCGGCCCGAGAUGGCGGCCGGACCUGCCGCCACCGCCGCCGCCACCUGCCGGGCGGGCGGGGACCGCCCCGCGCCCCUUUGUGCCUCCGGCAGCCGCGGCCCGAGGCGGGAAAGGAGCGGAGGGCGCCCGGCAGCGCCGGUGCCGCCGCGGGAGGCCGGCGGGGAGGUGAGGAGAGGCGGGCGGGCGGGCGCCGGCACGGCGCCGCCGCCCUCCCGCACCUGGCGGGGCCGCGCGGCUCGUCCCCUACCUGCUGCCCGCGGGUAGCUGCGCGCAGCCCCCGGCUCCGCCAUCUUCCUCGGCCAGUGCCGAGCGCCGCUUUGCCGCGUCCCGCCACCGCCGCCGGGGCUCCGCUGCGCUCCGCGGCGCCCAGCGGCCGCCGUACAGGCGCACUGCCCGCCCCGCGGCACCUAACACGGCGCUGCGGGAGGGGGGGAGAGCGCUGGGGCCGGGCACGGCUGCCUGCCUGGUGCCACACGGCGGCAGCGGCGGUGGUGGUGGUUCCUCCGCCCGCGCUGGGCGGCGGCGGCGGCUCCCGCGCCGCCAGGUGCUGCCGCGGCCCCGCCCCGGCGCGGGGCGGGAGGGGGAGGAUAGAGGGGGGUGUCCGUGAAGCCCCCGGGAGCCUCGGGGCGAAGCUGCCGGGGCCCCGGGCGGUCCCGGCCGCCGCGGGGCGCCACAGUGGGGAAGGGCGAGCGCCGGGGGCUGCGAGAGUUUAA
rnacentral:lncRNA from 1 species